UCUAAAUCAUAAAGAUAUUUAUAUCAUUCUCUAGUUUCAGAUAUUUUAAACCAUUGUUCAGACUCAUUACUUUUGAAAUUAAUUUGUUCUUCAUAUUUAAUGUGCUGAUGAAGCACAUACUUGGUGCUUUAAUACUUUUGAAGGUUGUAUUUCAAUAUUAGCUUUUUAAAGAAUUCUGUGUAUUUCAUUUUAUGCAUUUAAAACAUUUUUUUCUGAGAAGUCCAUGAGUAUUACCAGACUACCAAGGGGAUCAUGGCACCAAAAAGGUUUAAAACUCUAAUUUAGAAAGCAGUGACUAAUCUGUAUCCUGAAUUUUAGGAUCCUUUUGAGGAUCAGGGUGUAUUUUAUUUUUUAUAAGCCCCACAAUAUUGCAUUAAUAAAGCUUUUACAUUCUCAGUUUUUCUUCAAAGGACAUAGGUUCCAUAUGUUCGCAGGAUCUCCCAGCCUUCUGAUGGGGCCCCAGGCCUCACAGUUGCUAGACCUUCCCAGUGACAUAUUUGGAACUAUCCUCAGCCAUCUGCAGCAUUCUGGGCCCCUUGGACUAUGAGCCACUGCUCCCCGCCCCAGCAGAUGUCACAGCUUCUCAGCAGAUGUCCUGGAGCCUACUGAAUGAGUAGUUCCCUGAGGUGCCCUACUGGGGAGCCUAAGCUUUGGGGCCCAGAGGAAAGGACUCAGACAAGGUAUAAAAUUCCCUUUUGAGCCCACAGGUCCCCAGAGCCUGGGGACCAGUCAGGUACUCUGCCUUCAAAUGUCUGCUGGACCAGCAUGGUCAGAGUUUGGAGAAACCCAGGAAUGAAGAAGGCCUGGGUCUUCUGUUUCCCCAGUUUAGGAAGAUGAGAGAAUAAAUAAAAUCGUUGCUGCUCCGAGAAAACCUAGGAAAAGAGACCAUGGAGAUUUUGACCUCCUGCCAUGAGGAAAAGGGUGAGAAAAAAUUAAGGGGUGGGGAAGGGAGAAUUCCAGCUGGGUGUGGAGGGAAAAUUAAGUGAAUGGGGAGUCGCCUGGGUUGGGAAGAAGCCAGUCUGUGAAGUGGCACCUCCCCAGGUGCCUGCGGAGUCUGGGAGGUUGAGGCAGACGCCAGCCUGCUCCCCUCUCUUCCUGCAGCUCUUCCUUCUCAAGCCCCAGCCCUUUCCCAAGACAGCAAAGACCAGAGCAAGUUCCAGGUGGGUUGAGUUUUCUUUUCUUUCAGGAAUACCCCCUCAGGCAUCAGAAAGUAAACCUAUCUCCCUCCCUUGGUUAAAGGAAAAAGAAAAAAAUUAUUGGGUGAGUACACCUCAUUUCUCAUUGCAUUUGUCCACAAACAACUAUGUGAGAGAGACGGUAUGAUCCUGUUUUAGAGAUGAAGAAAUGAGUGGUGAAUCUUGGAAUAAUUGAACCCAGGUUAGAAUGACUCCGUCAUCUGCCUCUGAACUACAAUAAUAGUUUCAUGGUGGGGCCUGAGAGGCAACUCUCCAAAUAACAGGUCCUGCUUCUCUGCCUGGGUUCUUCUCUCUGGGAUGUUUCUCUUAUUCAUUUAUAGAUAUAAUAAUCUCCAUGGGUUUUAGUCAGCUUUUGUUUUGCUGUGACCAGAAUACCUGACAAGAAUAAUUUAGAGGAGGGAAAGUUUAUUUAGGGCUCACAGUUUCAGAGGUCUCGAUCCAUAGAUGGAUGACUCCAUUGCUCUGGGCCCAAGGUGAGCCAGCACAUCAUGUGGGAAGGGGCCAGCAGAGGAAAGCUGCUCAGAUCAUGGCAGGUUCAGGAAGCAGAAAGGGGUGCUACAGGGAUUGGCAGGAAGAACAACCCUCCUCCAGCCAUUCCCUACCUGUCUGCAGUUACCAACAGUCAGUCCAUUCAAAGUAGGAUGGACGAUUAGGCUACAGUUCUGAUAAUGCGAUCAUCUUACCUCUAAAUUGUAUCUGCAUUAACAGGAAUAAUUUAAGUGUCCCCUUGUGGGGGGACACCUCAUAUCUAAACCAUAGCACCAUGUAAUAUCUGCUACCAAAAAAUACCCCAUGAACUGUUAAAAGACAACAUAUUGGGGCAAAAAAUAUUUCAUCUACAACAAGGUUUUAAUAUUCUCAUUUUUAAAAGAUGGGUAAAAAUAAACACCUAAGCAUUUUUGUUUAGGAAUGAAGAAAAAGAGUAAAACAAAUGAUCAAUAAUCAUGAAAAUAUGAUCAGCUCUCAUUAAUUAGAGUGAUGCCAGAUUGAAGCGAGUUGUGAUUCUUUUCCUAGCAGGUGGCCUAAGAUUUGAAAGACCAGUCUUCACCGUGUGGAGUGUGGAGAAACAGGUGCAUCUGCACAAUAGCUGGGUCAUUUCAGCCUUUCUCUAGUCCAGAUUUCCCGUUCUAAGAAUUUAUUUUACAGAGUGAUUGCUGAAGCAUUCUUUAUAACAGAUUAAAAAAAAACUUGGUAGGAGGGACUCUGUGUUCAUGCAUUGUGUUGGUGGUGCAUUAUGGUUUUAUUCAUCUGUCACCUAGAUCCUAAGCUGCUAUCAAGGGAGGUAAAAUAGAUGAAAAUAUUAGGAUGUGGAAAUAUGCUUUAUUCUGGUCAGUUUUUCCAGAAAGUUCUUUUGUGUUUAUGGUUGGCUGUGUGUCAUUUUCGUGGAUCACACUCUAUUUCAUUUGAUGUUUUUUUCUGUUAAUAAGUUCUUUUUCUGCCUAGAUGUCUAUUAUUACUACUUUACUUAUUCACUUCUCUUUAAACUCCCGUUAAAUAGAGAAUAUAACUUCUGGAUCUAUCUUACCUGUUCUUUAACUUUUUUUUUUUUUUUUUUUUUGCAAUUUUCCAUUGUGCUCUAGGAGCCCAGGAGCCUGCCCCCCCACUUUUUUUUUUUUUUUUUUUCCCAGUGAUUGAACUCAGGGGCAUUUGACCACUGAGCCACAUCCCAUGCCUACUUUUUAUUUUAUUUAGAGACAGGGUCUCACUGAGUUGCUUAGCGACUCACCGUUGCUGAGGCUGGCUUUGAACUUGUGAUCUUCCUGCUUCAAACUCCCGAGCCACUGGGAUUACAGGUGUGUGGCACCACACAGGGCCGUGCUUUCCAUUUCAUUGGCUUGGUGUUCAUUCAUUCUGCUGUUUAGUUAUCUCUUGAGUUCUUUUUACCCUAUUCAUAGCAGAAUCUUUAAAAAAUAUUUUAUUAUACAUGAACACAAUAUCUUUAUUUGUUUAUUCAGUUUUAUUCAUGGCAGAAGAGCAUGGCGAGAAAGGCAGCGAUGGAGAUGGUGACCAAGAAGCAGAGAAAGUGAGGGGGGAGCCAGGAGAAUAAGAUAUAAUCCCCAAGGACAGACCCCCAUGAUUUACUCUCCACCUGCCCACAGUUACCACCCAGAAGUCCAUUCAAAUUAGGACAGACUGAUUAGAUUACAUCUCAUAAUCUGAUCAUUUAACCUCUGAAUAUUAGCGCAGGAGUUUUUUUGGGGGGCAACUCAUAUCCAAAUCAUAACACAAUUCAUGUUCUUCCUAUUUUCAAUUCCAAGGUGUCUCAGUACUAAACACUUUGGCCGAUAUGAUUGAAGAGGGUGUGUGGCUGAGAUCUAUUGUAUUUUACAGUUCCCUGGAUAGUAAGUGUGAUAAGCACCUUGUCGUGUUUAUUGGCAGGUCUGUAUCUGUAUUUUCUCUUCUCUGAUAUCUAUUGAAAUGCUUUUGCUCAUUUUUUUACUUAUUCAUUAUCACAGUUUCAGUGGCUCUUUCAAUAGCAGGGUUGAUAACAAACGUAUCAAAAGUGAAAAGUUGUUUAUUAGGUUGUAAUUGAAAUUAUUGGCACCAAACAUUAAUAAACUUGAUUUGACUUGCCAAAUUGAACAAGUUUCUGUUUUCUUGUCUCCUUGGUGAUCCCAAAUUUAUCUCUGUAUAGUGAAUGUUUGUGUUCAUGAUGCUUCUUCACAUUUUAGGAGCCCUUGACCCUCAAGGAUGUGGCUGUGGUCUUCACCCAGGAGGAGCUGGGGCUGUUGGACUCUGCCCAGAGGAAGCUGUACCAAGAUGUGAUGCUGGAGAACUUUAGGAACCUGGUGUCUGUGGGUGACGGGAACUUCUGUGGGUAAUUGACACGAGUUUAUUGCUGUGUUCUUAUUCCCCGGAAGGAAGAUGUUUAUGGUCUUUAAAUCCUUUUUAAAAUAAAACUUAGUUUGGGCCUGUAACAAACUGCUGUGAGACUGG
rnacentral:lncRNA from 1 species